AGAGUUUGAUCCUGGCUCAGAAUCAACGCUGGCGGCGUGCCUAACACAUGCAAGUCGAACGCGAAAGGGGCUUCGGCCCUGAGUAGAGUGGCGAACGGGNNNNNNNNNNNNNNNNNNNNUACCUCUGAGUGGGGGAUAACGUUCCGAAAGGAGCGCUAAUACCGCAUGACGUCCUGGGUUUGAAGACCUGGAAACCAAAGUCGGGGACCGCAAGGCCUGACGCGAUUGGAGCGGCCGAUAUCUGAUUAGCUAGUUGGUGAGGUAAAGGCUCACCAAGGCGACGAUCCGUAGCUGGUCUGAGAGGACGACCAGCCACACUGGAACUGAGACACGGUCCAGACUCCUACGGGAGGCAGCAGUGGGGAAUUUUGGACAAUGGGGGCAACCCUGAUCCAGCCAUGCCGCGUGAGUGAAGAAGGCCUUCGGGUUGUAAAGCUCUUUCAGCCGGGAAGAAAACGCAUGGGUUAAUACCCUGUGUGGAUGACGGUACCGGAAUAAGAAGCACCGGCUAACUACGUGCCAGCAGCCGCGGUAAUACGUAGGGUGCGAGCGUUAAUCGGAAUUACUGGGCGUAAAGCGUGCGCAGGCGGUUCUGCAAGUCAGGCGUGAAAUCCCCGGGCUCAACCUGGGAACUGCGCUUGUGACUGCAAGGCUAGAGUACGGCAGAGGGGGGUGGAAUUCCACGUGUAGCAGUGAAAUGCGUAGAGACGGGCAGGAACACCGAUGGCGAAGGCAAUCCCCUGGGCCUGCACUGACGCUCAUGCACGAAAGCGUGGGGAGCAAACAGGAUUAGAUACCCUGGUAGUCCACGCCCUAAACGAUGUCGACUGGUGUUGGAGGGUUUCCGCCCUUCAGUGCCGAAGCUAACGCGUGAAGUUGACCGCCUGGGGAGUACGGCCGCAAGGUUAAAACUCAAAGGAAUUGACGGGGACCCGCACAAGCGGUGGAUGAUGUGGUUUAAUUCGAUGCAACGCGAAAAACCUUACCCACCUUUGACAUGUACGGAAGAUCGCAGAGACGCGAUUGUGCUCGAAAGAGAACCGUAACACAGGUGCUGCAUGGCUGUCGUCAGCUCGUGUCGUGAGAUGUUGGGUUAAGUCCCGCAACGAGCGCAACCCUUGCCAUUAGUUGCUACAUUUAGUUGGGCACUCUAAUGGGACUGCCGGUGACAAACCGGAGGAAGGUGGGGAUGACGUCAAGUCCUCAUGGCCCUUAUAGGUGGGGCUACACACGUCAUACAAUGGCUGGUACAAAGGGUUGCCAACCCGCGAGGGGGAGCCAAUCCCAUAAAGCCAGUCGUAGUCCGGAUCGCAGUCUGCAACUCGACUGCGUGAAGUCGGAAUCGCUAGUAAUCGUGGAUCAGCAUGUCACGGUGAAUACGUUCCCGGGUCUUGUACACACCGCCCGUCACACCAUGGGAGCGGGUCUCGCCAGAAGUAGUUAGCCUAACCGCAAGGAGGGCGAUUACCACGGCGGGGUUCGUGACUGGGGUGAAGUCGUAACAAGGUAACC
rnacentral:rRNA from 1 species